rnacentral:lncRNA from 1 species
GAAAUGCCAUAUUUUGAACUUUUCAAGCUAUAUACACGCAUUAAAAUGUAACUUCUAUAUUCAUAAUAAUAACAACUGACGUGUAGAAUUGUUAUUUCUGUGAAAUAUAUAAACAUAUUUUGAAAAUUGUGUAAUUCCUAGACAGGAAGUCAGAAAGCACUUGAAAUCACAGCUUGAUCACGAGAUGUUUGUAAUAUAUUCAGAUAGAAAGGCAUUGUUUUACAGAAAGAACGACCUUAUUUACAGUGAAACAUUGUUGCUGUGAAAAUUUCUGGUAAGUUUGUUCAUAUUUCUACAUUACAUUCACACGAGAGUAGACGAGAUCGCAACUGGCGCAAAUUAGUCGCGUUUCAUUUAUUCACACGGGAAUUCUUGCGGUUAUCUGAGCUCGUAUUGUCCUCCCUCGUGGGUCGCGUGUUAAUAACGCAAAACAAGACAGUUCAAACUUGAGUAUUGAAUGUAGUCUCAGAUCAUACUCAAGUUUUCAUGAUUUCUCAUGUGUGUUCUCCUAGGACGUAUCAAACCAGACGAACUAGACCACAGCUCUCCGUACGAAUUCCCGUGUGAAUACAUGCAAGCGAACUAAAUGCGAUGUACGGUUCUGAGUUCAUCAUAUUUCGUGCAAUCGGAGUCUCAAUGUACGAAAUUUUAAUUGUAAGCCCUUUUUAAUGAGUUACAAGAGCCCCUAGCGAACUGCUUGGUGCGAGGACUAGUAGAAAUCAGGCUUCGCAGAAUGAAAUAUAAAUACGAGAAUAUUGCGAAAUAUUUGGUAGACAAGUAAUGCGCAUGUGCAGUUAAGGAUAGGCUAGAGUAUAACAUCACGUAUGUCAAGAAGCUAGAUUUUGCUAUCAAGUUAACUUUAAAAGAUUCCUAACAUAUAAAUUGUGUUUACUUUUGACCUGCAAUCAAUCAAAAUGAUCCAACUUUUUAGUACCAGUCAACCAAACUGUCUCCAAUUCCGCACGAAGAAAUGCUAUACAGGCUACAGCGACAUACCAACAAUCAUAUACAAUCAGAUCAACAAGGAUCUGGAAUACUUUACCAAAACUUAUAACUAAUAAAUCUAAUUCUUUAUAUACCUUUAAAAAAUAUUUACUUGACUACUACCUCUCUGCUUUACAACUUAAUUAUAACAUAGAUGAUCCUCGUUCGUGGAAAGCAAUUUGUUUAAAGUGUAAUCAGACUCAUGAUCUCACUAAAUCUCUUGCAUGCUGUUUUUAAAUGAUAAUUUUUUAAGAGACAAUGCGAAUGCUUUGUAUAGUUUAAGAUAAUUUGUUUGUUGUCUAAUGGGAUCACAGUAAUUGGCCAAAAGCUGUCGUGAAUACCCUGUCACAAUUGUUGUAAAUUGUUGUAUUGUUAGAUCUAUAGUGCAUUUCGAGUUAUCUUGCAUCUACGGUUUUCAUGUCUGUUUUAGUCUGUUUUAAUAUGGUUUAACAGUUGUUAGUCCUGGAAAACGAUACAUGUAGGAAGGAUGGCUCGGAAUGUGUUAUAGUCAUUAUAGUAUUUAGAUAUGUAAUUUAUAUUGUGACGAAG